UACGUAGGGUGCAAGCAUUAAUCGGAGUUACUGGGCGUAAAGCGCGCGCAGGCGGAUGGAUAAGUCAGAUGUGAAAUACAAAAGCUCAACUUUGGUGCUGCAUUUGAAACUGUCUUUCUAGAGGAUUGACGGAGAAAGCGGAAUUCCACGUGUAGCGGUGAAAUGCGUAGAUACGUGGAGGAACACCGGUGGCGAAAGCGGCUUUCUAGUUUAGACCUGACGCUGAGGCGCGAGAGCAAGGGGAGCAAACAGG
rnacentral:rRNA from 1 species